UACGUAGGGUCCAAGCGUUAUCCGGAUUUAUUGGGCGUAAAGAGCGCGCAGGUGGUUUGGUAAGUUACCCGUUAAAUCUCUGGGCUUAACCCAGAUUCCGCGGGUAAUACUACCUUUCUAGAGGAUGGCAGGGGUAAGCGGAAUUCUGCAAGUAGCAGUGAAAUGCGUUGAUAUGCAGAGGAACACCAAUGGCGAAGGCAGCUUACUAGGCUAUAUCUGACACUGAGGCGCGAAAGCGUGGGGAGCGAACGGG
rnacentral:rRNA from 1 species